AACUAACAAGGAUUCCCCUAGUAACGGCGAGUGAACCGGGAAGAGCUCAAAUUUGAAAUCUGGCGUGCUCAGUGCGUCCGAGUUGUAAUCUAAAGAGUCGUUUUCCGUGCCGGACUGUGUCCAAGUCCCUUGGAACAGGGUAUCAAAGAGGGUGAUAAUCCCGUACUUGACACAAUGACCGGUGCUCUGUGAUACGUCUUCUACGAGUCGAGUUGUUUGGGAAUGCAGCUCAAAAUGGGUGGUGAGUUCCAUCUAAAGCUAAAUAUUGGCGAGAGACCGAUAGCGAACAAGUACCGUGAGGGAAAGAUGAAAAGCACUUUGGAAAGAGAGUUAAACAGUACGUGAAAUUGUUAAAAGGGAAACGAUUGAAGUCAGUCGUGACUGAGAGGCUCAGCCGGUUCUGCCGGUGUAUUCCCCUCAGUCGGGUCAACAUCAGUUUUGUUCGGUGGAUAAGGGCAGUUGGAAGGUGGCACCCUCGGGUGUGUUAUAGCCAGCUGUCGCAUACAUCGGAUGAGACUGAGGAAUGCAGCUC
rnacentral:rRNA from 1 species